UCAAGUCCCUCUUUGAGAAUUCGAGAACGUGUAACAUUAACCGUCCCGAGCAAGCCAGUUUUGCGGUGCAAUUCUGCUUUCCGGACGGAUGUCCUAUCGUCGCAUCCGGCUUGCUUCCUUUGGAGCAAGCAGGAGUGCGGGAAUGAAGACCUCGGCGCGGUUUGCGCCAAGGACGGAUGUUGUUGGAGUGCAUCGCCCACUUUUCGUGGUGCGGUGUAUCCUCCUAACGGUGUGAGAAUAUGCAUGACUCUUGGCAACGGAUAUCUAGGCUCUCGCGUCGAUGAAGAACGUAGCAAAAUGCGAUACUUGGUGUGAAUUGCAGAAUCCCGUGAACCAUCGAGUCUUUGAACGCAAGUUGCGCCUAAGACCGUCAGGUCAAGGGCACGUCUGCUUGGGCGUCGCGCCUUACGUCACUCCAAACCCCUACCACGCGUAAACCGCUACGCUGGUAAGGGUGUGUGUGGAUGUGGAUAGUGACCCUUCGUGCCUCCGGUGCGCGGUGGGUUUGAGUGAUGGUCGUUGCUAGGUUUCGCACGCGGCGAAUGGUGGAUUAUAGAGUAUGCGCCUCCGGUUGUGCACAAGACUCCCAGCCACGACUUACAAGAAGUAAAACCCGUGACGGUGCUUGCACAUUUUGCAAGCUCGGACC
rnacentral:misc_RNA from 1 species